UCAGCCACAGUUCUUUUGGGUACUCAAAUGAGAGGAAGAGGAAGUGAAUAAAGCUAAUACUAAAUACACAGCAGCAAGUGAAGGCAGGGAUGUAGAUAUAAAGGACGGGGUUGGGGGUGGGGGAAAGCAUGCUUUUGCUGGAAUCCAUCUGUUUUCUAGCAUCACCUUUUAAAGGUAUGGAUGUUAACAGGAUAUAGGCAUCUCUCAAAUUCGAGAGGGCGGAUGCUUCUGUAGCCAGAAGGACCCCUGGCUCUCAGAGAGUGACUGGGAGGGGACAAAAUGGAGGUGAGGUCUAGGGGCGCCCUAAAGGUCGUUUGGAGGUCUAGCAAGCAUUUGAUGUGCUCCUCUCAAAAGGGUCUUGGCAAAGACUCAUACUCCUAUCAGGACGAUGACUUUUGGCCUUGGGUCACGAUAAGCGGCAAAAAGAGGCAAGCCAAUUCGCGAGGACCCCAACCUCUACCAAAGGAGAAGAUAGUGACCUCAGGAAUCUUCCUGGCCUCAGGAGAGGCAAGAGGGUAGAUUGGCCGGGCUCAGGAAGAAAGCGAGCGGAUUCGGGGAAAAGGAAUAUCCACCUAGCCUCCUCCUGGCUCAGAGAGAUCUUAACACUCUGACUGAAGGCAUUCCUUCUUCUGGAAGCCUGAGCUAAUGUUCUCAUCCGUUUAUCUUGCCUCUCACUGCGUCAAGAUCCCCACUCCCGCCCGCUAAUGAAAUAAUCACAACGAUGCAGGGUUUUCACGUUACGCCUUCCUUUUCCACGACCAUGUAAUGGCAAAAGAACUCAGAACUGAUAAGAAAAAGUCACUGCAGCACUGUGACAUCUUAAUGGCCCUAGUCGUUGUGAAUAAGCCAAUCCUACAAACGCCUUUCCCAAGAGAUUCAAGAAAUUAUACUGGUAAAAAUAAAAUUCCAGUGAACUGUCUCAGGACUUAAAAAGGGACAGACGAAACUACAAAUGAGCCAGGACAAACUGCCAAGAAUAUAUCACCAAACGAAAUAAAUGUCAAGUAUUCUUCCAGUUCCCUGGUGCAUAAUGGUGGACUAGCUUCCUCUUCCUGCUGAUAAUGGGCAUUUCACUUUGCUUGCUAUUUUCCAUUUCCCCAUAGAAUUACCAGAUAUGCCUCACCCUCUCAAAUUACAAACUACAAUACUUCUUAAAAGUGCGCAUCAAAACCAUCUGGAGCUCUUGUUCGAAUAUGGGUACCUAUAUAACCCCUAUAUGUUUUGAUCAGGAUUUAAAUGAGACUAAACAUUUUGAGUUUUUAAUAAGCAUCCCAGGUGACAAAUCGGGGGCUAGUUGAGAGUACAGAGCUACAGUUUUUGUGUGUUACUGCUCUAAAGCCAUAGUACGCAUUUAAUUUCCAACUGACCUGGUCACUUAAACCUAAUUUGCCUAUAAAUUUUGCUGAGGCAGUCAUGCAGUUUCCUUAUUCAAGAUUGACCUAGAAAGUUUAGGACUUCAAACAACAGGUUUAAUUGUCAUCUUUAAUUUUAUGAGAUCUUGUUAUUAAUCCCAGAAAUAGGUAAUCGUUUCUCAGGGAUGAAAUUCACUGGUUACCUAGAGUAUACAGAGAACUGACAUCUGUAGUGGGGUUAAACAAAAGUUGGAAGAAUGAUCAUCCCUGCCCUCAAUACACUUAGUAGAAAUAAAACAAACACAACAUAGACCCAGUAUAACACAAAAAUCAAUAUGUUAGACUGAGAUUAAAAAAAAACUUGUAAUUAAA